GAAGUUAGGGUGAAGACGUUGCGAAUCGUAUCGGUAGGAACGACCGACGAUUCAAUUGGGUUCGCGAUGCGGGGAGAUCAAUAUUUCAUGAGGCCCUUCUCGUUCCGAUUUUCUCUCUCUCUAUCCUUUCUCCUUCCUCUCGCCCCUCUCUCUCUCUCUCUUGAAAUCCGCGUUCUAUUUCUCACCAAUAUAACCCAUCCCUUUCUUCUCUACUACGGGAAACCCUUCUUUGUUUUGUGUGUCCUUCCAAGCAGUGUUGCGAGUCCUCUGGACGCGUUGCAGGUUUUUGGGGUGCGGAGAUGUUCAUAGCAUUUGUGCGAUUGGAAGGAAGAGUUUGUAUAGGUGGACGAUUGUGGGGUUUAGCAUUGAUCCCUAUCACGAAGUUUGUACCAUUCUUUCAUCAUGAAUUUUCGAGCAGGUUUCUCACGUUCUUCCCUUUUUUUUUUGGGCGAAUAAUGCAAAGAUGUUAGCUUAAAAGCUUUAGAAUUACAGGGAACACAUGUUUUAUAAAACAACAAGGCAUGAAGGUUCUAAUUUUUAA